rnacentral:rRNA from 1 species
UACGAAGGUCCCGAGCGUUGUUCGGAAUCACUGGGCGUAAAGCGUGCGUAGGUGGUGCGUUAAGUCUGUCGUGAAAGCCCCGGGCUCAACCUGGGAAUGGCGAUGGAUACUGGCGCGCUAGAGUGCGGUAGAGGAGAGUGGAAUUCCCGGUGUAGCAGUGAAAUGCGUAGAGAUCGGGAGGAACACCAGUUGCGAAGGCGGCUCUCUGGACCAGCACUGACACUGAGGCACGAAAGCGUGGGGAGCAAACAGG